UCGGGAAUCUUGGACAAUGGGCGAAAGCCUGAUCCAGCCAUGCCGCGUGAGUGAUGAAGGCCUUAUGGGUUGUAAAGCUCUUUCGCUGGGGAAGAUAAUGACGGUACCCAGUAAAGAAGCCCCGGCUAACUUCGUGCCAGCAGCCGCGGUAAUACGAAGGGGGCUAGCGUUGUUCGGAAUUACUGGGUGUAAAGCGCACGUAGGCGGAUUGUUAAGUCAGAGGUGAAAUCCCGGGGCUCAACCCCGGAACUGCCUUUGAUACUGGCAAUCUUGAGUUCGAGAGAGGUGAGCGGAAUUCCGAGUGUAGAGGUGAAAUUCGUAGAUAUUCGGAGGAACACCAGUGGCGAAGGCGGCUCACUGGCUCGAUACUGACGCUGAGGUGCGAAAGCGUGGGGAGCAAACAGGAUUAGAUACCCCCGUAGUCC
rnacentral:rRNA from 1 species